rnacentral:rRNA from 1 species
AGUGAACGCUGGCGGUAGGCCUAACACAUGCAAGUCGAACGGCAGCACAGUAAGAGCUUGCUCUUACGGGUGGCGAGUGGCGGACGGGUGAGGCAUACAUCGGAAUCUACUUUUUCGUGGGGGAUAACGUAGGGAAACUUACGCUAAUACCGCAUACGACCUACGGGUGAAAGCAGGGGAUCUUCGGACCUUGCGCGAUUGAAUGAGCCGAUGUCGGAUUAGCUAGUUGGCGGGGUAAAGGCUCACCAAGGCGACGAUCCGUAGCUGGUCUGAGAGGAUGAUCAGCCACACUGGAACUGAGACACGGUCCAGACUCCUACGGGAGGCAGCAGUGGGGAAUAUUGGACAAUGGGCGCAAGCCUGAUCCAGCCAUACCGCGUGAGUGAAGAAGGCCUUCGGGUUGUAAAGCCCUUUUGUUGGGAAAGAAAAGCAGCAGGUUAAUACCCCGCUGUUCUGACGGUACCCAAAGAAUAAGCACCGGCUAACUUCGUG